GCCAGACUCCUACGGGAGGCAGCAGUGGGGAAUAUUGCACAAUGGGGGAAACCCUGAUGCAGCAACGCCGCGUGAGUGAGGAAGUAUUUCGGUAUGUAAAGCUCUAUCAGCAGGGAAUAGAAAAGAAGGUACCUGAAAAAGAAGCCCCGGCUAACUACGUGCCAGCAGCCGCGGUAAUACGUAGGUGGCAAGCGUUGUCCGGAUUUACUGGGUGUAAAGGGCGUGCAGCCGGGCCGACAAGUCAGAUGUGAAAUCCGCGGGCUUAACCCGCGAACUGCAUUUGAAACUAUUGGUCUUGAGUACCGGAGAGGUCAUCGGAAUUCCUUGUGUAGCGGUGAAAUGCGUAGAUAUAAGGAAGAACACCAGUGGCGAAGGCGGAUGACUGGACGGCAACUGACGGUGAGGCGCGAAAGCGUGGGGAGCAAACAGGAUUAGAUACCCGAGUAG
rnacentral:rRNA from 1 species